UCCCUGGUGGCUCAAUUGGUAAAGAAUCUGCCUGCUGUGCAGGAGGCCCAGGUUCAAUCCCUGGGUCAGGAAG